UACACCUGUUUGAGUGUCAUG
rnacentral:rRNA from 1 species